rnacentral:rRNA from 1 species
AGAAUCAACGCUGGCGGCGUGCCUAACACAUGCAAGUCGAACGAGAAAGUGGAGCAAUCCAUGAGUAAAGUGGCGCACGGGUGAGUAACACGUGACUAACCUACCUUUUAGUGGGGGAUAACCUAGGGAAACCUGGGCUAAUACCGCAUAACACUUACGAGUCAAAGCAGCAAUGCGCUGAAAGAGGGGGUCGCGGCCGAUUAGCUAGUUGGCGGGUAAGGCCCACAAGGCAGUGAUCGGUA